AUUGAACGCUGGCGGCAGGCCUAACACAUGCAAGUCGAACGAGUGGCGGACGGGUGAGUAAUGUCUGGGAAACUGCCUGAUGGAGGGGGAUAACUACGGGAAACGGUAGCUAAUACCGCCUACCAUCGGAUGUGCCCAGAUGGGAUUAGCUAGUAGGUGGGGUAAAGGCCCACGUAGGCGAGGAUCCCUACCUGGUCUGAGGGGAUGACCCGCCACACUUGAACUGAGCCACGGUCCAGACUCCGACGGGAGGCAGCAGUGGGGAAUAUGGCACAAUGGCGCAAGCCUGAUGCAGCCAUGCCGCGUGGAUGAAGAAGGCCUUCGGGUUGUAAAGUACUUUCAGCGGGGAGGCGUUACCCGCAGAAGAAGCACCGGCUAACUCCGUGCCAGCAGCCGCGGUAAUAC
rnacentral:rRNA from 1 species